UACGUAGGGGGCAAGCGUUAUCCGGAUUUACUGGGUGUAAAGGGGGCGCAGACGGCGAUGCAAGCCAGGAGUGAAAGCCCGGGGCCCAACCCCGGGACUGCUCUUGGAACUGCGUGGCUGGAGUGCAGGAGGGGCAGGCGGAAUUCCUGGUGUAGCGGUGAAAUGCGUAGAUAUCAGGAGGAACACCGGUGGCGAAGGCGGCCUGCUGGGCUGCAACUGACGUUGAGGCCCGAAAGCGUGGGGAGCAAACAGG
rnacentral:rRNA from 1 species